rnacentral:rRNA from 1 species
AACGAACGCUGGCGGCGUGCCUAACACAUGCAAGUCGAACGUGAUUGAGAGCUUGCUCUCAUGAAAGUGGCGCACGGGUGAGUAACGCGUAGAUAAUCUACCUGGUGAUCCGGGAUAACACCUCGAAAGGGGUGCUAAUACCUGAUAAGCCCACGGGAUCUUCGGACUCUGCGGGAAAAGGGGGGGACCUUUAGGCCUUCCGUCAUCAGAUGAGUCUGCGUACCAUUAGCUAGUUGGUAGGGUAAAGGCCUACCAAGGCGACGAUGGUUAGCUGGUCUGAUAGGAUGAUCAGCCACACUGGAACUGAGACACGGUCCAGACUCCUACGGGAGGCAGCAGUGGGGAAUUUUGCGCAAUGGGGGAAACCCUGACGCAGCAACGCCGCGUGAGUGAUGAAGGCCCUUGGGUCGUAAAGCUCUGACAGAGGGAAAGAAGUGCAGGGGAGCUAAUAUCUCCUUUGCUUGACGGUACCCUCAAAGGAAGCACCGGCUAACUCCGUGCCAGCCGCCGCAGUAACAC